rnacentral:rRNA from 1 species
CCUACGGGGGGCUGCAGUGGGGAAUAUUGGACAAUGGGGGGAACCCUGAUCCAGCCAUGCCGCGUGUGUGAAGAAGGCCCUCGGGUUGUAAAGCACUUUCAGUGAGGAAGAACGCCUGGUGGUUAAUACCCAUCAGGAAAGACAUCACUCACAGAAGAAGCACCGGCUAACUCCGUGCCAGCAGCCGCGGUAAUACGGAGGGUGCGAGCGUUAAUCGGAAUUACUGGGCGUAAAGCGCGCGUAGGUGGCUUGAUAAGCCGGUUGUGAAAGCCCCGGGCUCAACCUGGGAACGGCAUCCGGAACUGUCAAGCUAGAGUGCAGGAGAGGAAGGUAGAAUUCCCGGUGUAGCGGUGAAAUGCGUAGAGAUCGGGGGGAAUACCAGUGGCGAAGGCGGCCUUCUGGACUGACACUGACACUGAGGUGCGAAAGCGUGGGUAGCAAACAGGAUUAGAUACCCCUGUAGUC